UACGUAGGGCGCAAGCGUUAUCCGGAAUUCUUGGGCGUAAAGAGCUCGUAGGCGGUUUGUCGCGUCUGCCGUGAAAGUCCGGGGCUCAACUCCGGAUCUGCGGUGGGUACGGGCAGACUAGAGUGAUGUAGGGGAGACUGGAAUUCCUGGUGUAGCGGUGAAAUGCGCAGAUAUCAGGAGGAACACCGAUGGCGAAGGCAGGUCUCUGGGCAUUAACUGACGCUGAGGAGCGAAAGCAUGGGUAGCGAACAGG
rnacentral:rRNA from 1 species